CCGUCCAGCUGCCUAUCACAAACGAGGAGGACUUUAAUGAGGCCGAAGCCCUCUUAAAAACAGAGGCAGUCCGACAAAAGAUGAUUGUCCGCUUGGCCAUGGUGGGAGGCACCAGCUCGACCUGCAUGAUCAGGAGGAUGCUGGCAGCAGCCUUAACAAACGGCCUGGCCUGUAAAUUUAGUUGGGCAGGGAAAGCGUACAAACACAGUGAGGCCAAGCUGCCAUUUAGGGAAACUUGCCUGCAAGACUGCAUGUUUGUUGCUUCUCGGCAGUGUGACAGGAAGCUCACACAGCAGGCCUUCAGUGACAUCGUGAAGAACUGGCUACGUUACGCCCCUUGGCGUGCAGGAGGCUUAAAGAAAAAUUAGAUUGUCCUCUUCAGAUGUGCUAUGGCCCUGCACACAUACAAGCCCACUCACACACAUAGCAUCACCCC